UACGGAGGGUGCGAGCGUUACUCGGAAUCACUGGGCGUAAAGGGCGCGCAGGCGGGAUAAAAAGUCAGAGGUGAAAUCCUACAGCUUAACUGUAGAACUGCCUUUGAUACUUUUAUUCUUGAGUUCGGAAGAGAGAGACGGAAUUCCAGGUGUAGUGGGGAAAUACGUAGAUAUCUGGAAGAACACCAGUUGCGAAGGCGGUCUCUUGGUCCGAUACUGACGCUGAGGCGCGAAAGCGUGGGGAGCAAACAGG
rnacentral:rRNA from 1 species